CGCCCGCGCGGCUGCGACGGACUAGACGCGCAUUUUCCUCGGGCUGCUGUUGAACCUUGCGCAGUUUCAGUUAUUUGUUUAGUUAUUGUUUUAGUUAUUACGUUGUGGGGG